rnacentral:sRNA from 1 species
UAACUGUGCAGUCCGUCCGGUCCCGGACUUU